rnacentral:rRNA from 1 species
AGUGAACGCUGGCGGCGUGCCUAAUACAUGCAAGUCGAACGGAGAUUAAGUAGCUUGCUAUUUAAUCUUAGUGGCGCACGGGUGAGUAAUAUAUAGCUAACUUGCCCAUUACUAAGGGACAACAGUUGGAAACGACUGCUAAUACCUUAUACUCCGUAUCUAUAUAAGUAAAUAUGGGAAAGUUUUUCGGUAAUGGAUAGGGCUAUAUCGUAUCAGCUAGUUGGUAAGGUAACGGCUUACCAAGGCUAUGACGCGUAACUGGUCUGAGAGGAUGAUCAGUCACACUGAAACUGAGACACGGUCCAGACUCCUACGGGAGGCAGCAGUAGGGAAUAUUGCUCAAUGGGGGAAACCCUGAAGCAGCAACGCCGCGUGGAGGAUGACACUUUUCGGAGCGUAAACUCCUUUUCUUGGGAAAGAAUUA